rnacentral:rRNA from 1 species
GACGAAUGCUGGCUGCGUGCUUAACACAUGCAAGUCGAACGGUGAACAGGGGCUUGCCCCUGGGAUCAGUGGCGAACGGGUGAGUAACACGUGGGCAACCUGCCCCUCACUCUGGGAUAACUCCGGGAAACCGGGGCUAAUACCGGAUACGACCAGGCACGACAUCGGGUCUGGUGGAAAGAACUUCGGUGAGGGAUGGGCCCGCGGCCUAUCAGCUUGUUGGUGAGGUAAUGGCUCACCAAGGCGACGACGGGUAGCCGGCCUGAGAGGGCGACCGGCCACACUGGGACUGAGACACGGCCCAGACUCCUACGGGAGGCAGCAGUGGGGAAUAUUGCGCAAUGGGCGAAAGCCUGACGCAGCGACGCAGCGUGAGGGACGAAGGCCUUCGGGUUGUAAACCUCUUUCAGCGGGGACGAAGCGAAAGUGACGGUACCCGCAGAAGAAGCACCGGCUAACUACGUGCCAGCAGCCGCUAAUCAUACUCGUA